AGUUUAGGGUUUAAAACCCUAAUGCUGACUAAAAGGAAAAUUCAGUUUAGGGUUUAAAACCCUAAUGUUGAUUGCAUGGAAAAGCUCAGUUUAGGGUUUAAAACCCUAAUGCUGGCUGAAUGGAAAAAUUCAGUUUAGGGUUUAAAACCCUAAUGCUGAUUGCAUGGAAAAACUCAGUUUAGGGUUUAAAACCCUAAUGCUGGCUGAAUGAAAAAGUUCAGUUUAGGGUUUAAAACCCUAAUGCUGACUGGAAUGAAAAUCUCAGUUUAGGGUUUAAAACCCUAAUGCUGAUUGCAUGGAAAAGCUCAGUUUAGGGUUUAAAACCCUAAUGCUGGCUGAAUGGAAAAAGUUCAGUUUAGGGUUUAAAACCCUAAGCUGACUAAAGGAAAAAUUCAGUUUAGGGUUUAAAACCCUAAUGCUGACUAAAGGAAAAAUUAAGUUUAGGGUUUAAAACCCUAAUACUGACUGGCUGGGGACAAAAUUCGAGAACAACAACUGACCUCUUUUUUUUUUUUGAAUUUUCUUGUUUUAGAAGAAGAUAAAAGGGAGUUUCGUGGAAACUUACCUUUCGAGUGAAUUCCUUAUUGCCAAAAUAUUUCUUGUACCCAUGUACCUUCUUCUUUGGGCGACACCUGCUUCUUGCGCGGUUGUCUUGGAUCAUACCUGUUUCAACUUUUCAGACAAAGAAUAAUUGUUAGUUCGGAAAUGACGGUCGGUUCGGUGACCUUGAUCGUUCCCGGUUGCUUUGUUGCGUCUUCAUUUCUGUUGCGAAAUCCCGCCAUUGAUUUGAUUCAUAUGUCGAAACCCUUUAGACU
rnacentral:lncRNA from 1 species